AAUCUUGCACGGCGCAACUGGCCAGGAAGUAAGAAGUGUUGCUUUUGUGCUCAUGACGAGACAAUCAAACACCUCUUUUUCCAAUGCAAGUUUGCACGUUCUACAUGGUCAGUCAUCCAAAUAGCGUCAAAUUUGUAUCCGCCAACGAGUAUUGCCAAUAUAUUUGGUCAUUGGUUGGACGGAAUUUCAAAUAGUUUCAAAACGCUAAUAAGGGUGGGGGCGUAUGCCUUACUAUGGUCGCUUUGGCUAUGUAGAAAUGAUUUGAUUUUUAAUGACAAAAAUGCUUCUCCUCUGCAGGUUAUUUUCCGUUGUACGCACUUGCUUCGUACGUGGUCUACGCUACAACAGGCGGAGCACCAACCGCUGUUCAAGGCGGUGUGU
rnacentral:rRNA from 1 species